rnacentral:rRNA from 1 species
AGUGAACGCUGGCGGUAGGCCUAACACAUGCAAGUCGAACGGCAGCACAGUAAGAGCUUGCUCUUACGGGUGGCGAGUGGCGGACGGGUGAGGAAUACAUCGGAGUCUACUUUUUCGUGGGGGAUAACGUAGGGAAACUUACGCUAAUACCGCAUACGACCUACGGGUGAAAGCAGGGGAUCUUCGGACCUUGCGCGAUUGAAUGAGCCGAUGUCGGAUUAGCUAGUUGGCGGGGUAAAGGCCCACCAAGGCGACGAUCCGUAGCUGGUCUGAGAGGAUGAUCAGCCACACUGGAACUGAGACACGGUCCAGACUCCUACGGGAGGCAGCAGUGGGGAAUAUUGGACAAUGGGCGCAAGCCUGAUCCAGCCAUACCGCGUGGGUGAAGAAGGCCUUCGGGUUGUAAAGCCCUUUUGUUGGGAAAGAAAAGCGGCAGGUUAAUACCCCGCUGUUCUGACGGUACCCAAAGAAUAAGCACCGGCUAACUUCGUG